UAGGGAAUCUUCCACAAUGGACGCAAGUCUGAUGGAGCAACGCCGCGUGAGUGAAGAAGGUUUUCGGAUCGUAAAGCUCUGUUGUUGGUGAAGAAGGAUAGAGGCAGUAACUGGUCUUUAUUUGACGGUAAUCAACCAGAAAGUCACGGCUAACUACGUGCCAGCAGCCGCGGUAAUACGUAGGUGGCAAGCGUUGUCCGGAUUUAUUGGGCGUAAAGCGAGCGCAGGCGGAAUGAUAAGUCUGAUGUGAAAGCCCACGGCUCAACCGUGGAACUGCAUCGGAAACUGUCAUUCUUGAGUGCAGAAGAGGAGAGUGGAACUCCAUGUGUAGCGGUGGAAUGCGUAGAUAUAUGGAAGAACACCAGUGGCGAAGGCGGCUCUCUGGUCUGCAACUGACGCUGAGGCUCGAAAGCAUGGGUAGCGAACAGGAUUAGAUACCCUGGUAGUCCAUGCCGUAAACGAUGAGCGCUAGGUGUUGGGGACUUUCCGGUUCUCAGUGCCGCAGCAAACGCAUUAAGCGCUCCGCCUGGGGAGUACGACCGCAAGGUUGGAAC
rnacentral:rRNA from 1 species